UACAGAGGUCUCAAGCGUUGUUCGGAUUCAUUGGGCGUAAAGAGCGUGUAGGCGGCCAGAUAGGUCCGUUGUGAAAACUCGAGGCUCAACCUCGAGACGCCGAUGGAAACCAUCUGGCUAGAGUCCGGAAGAGGAGAGUGGAAUUCCCGGUGUAGCGGUGAAAUGCGCAGAUAUCGGGAAGAACACCCGUGGCUAAGGCGGCUCUCUAGUACGGUACUGACGCUGAGACGCGAAAGCGUGGGGAGCGAACAGG
rnacentral:rRNA from 1 species